AUUGAACGCUGGCGGCGGGCCUAACACAUGCAAGUCGAACGAGUGGCGGACGGGUGAGUAAUGUCUGGGCAACUGCCUGAUGGACGGGGAUGACUGCUGGAAACGGUAGCUACUACCGCAUACCAUCGGAUGUGCCCACAUUGGAUUAGCUAGUAGGUGGGGUAACGGCUCACGAAGGCGACGAUCCCUAGCUGGUCUGAGAGGAUGAGCAGCCACACUGGAACUGAGACACGGCCCAGACUCCUACGGGAGGCAGCAGUGGGGAAUAUUGUACAAUGGGCGCAAGCCUGAUGCAGCAAUGCCGCGUGUAUGAAGAAGGCUUUCGGGUCGUAAAGUACUUUCAGUGGGGAGGCGGUACCUACAGAAGAAGCACCGGCUAACUCCGUGCCAGCAGCCGCGGUAAUUC
rnacentral:rRNA from 1 species